rnacentral:rRNA from 1 species
UACAGAGGGUGCAAGCGUUAUUCGGAUUUACUGGGCGUAAAGGGCGUGUAGGUUGUUUUCUAAGUUUGAUGUGAAAUACCUCGACUCAAUCGAGGAAGUGCAUUGAAUACUGGAAGACUAGAGUUAAGGAGAGGAGAACGGAAUUCCUGGUGUAGAGGUGAAAUUCGUAGAUAUCAGGAGGAACAACGAAGGCGAAGGCAGUUCUCUGGACUUAUACUGACACUGAGGCGCGAAAGCGUGGGGAGCAAACAGG